rnacentral:lncRNA from 1 species
GAUAUUGGAUGUUAACGAAUUAUCUAGAAACCAACUAUAAAUAUAGUUAUCCAAAUUUGUCCUGCUACUGUCAAUUUCGAUAGGGAUUCAAAAAAAUGAAGCCCUUCUAUAUUCAUCUGUAAUUAUGAAUUGAAUCUUGAUGAAUGACUAACGAAAUUGAAUCAAGAAAAUUCUAAAAGAAAAGAAUGGUUCCAAAAUUUUAUUUUAAGGGAAGAUAAGAACAAAAGUUGUAUGGAUUUACAAAAACUAUGGGAAUAGAAAAAUAGAGAAAUAUCGAAGUAGCUCCAACAGUUCAAUAAAUAUUCUUUCUUUAUUUUUUUCUUCAUUUUUUUCCUCAAUUAUUUCGACUGAAUAAAUCUUUAUUAUUAAUUGAAAAAUUCAAGUCAAAAUUGGUUGCUUGUAUCAUUAACCAUUUCCCCUUUUUUGGAUGAGAGGAACUUAUCAUGAAUCCACUAAUUGCUGCUGCUUCCGUUGUUGCUGCUGGGUUGGCUGUAGGGCUUGCUUCUAUUGGACCUGGGGUUGGCCAAGGCACU